UACAGAGGGGGCAAGCGUUGUUCGGAAUUACUGGGCGUAAAGGGCGCGUAGGCGGCCUGUUAAGUCGAACGUGAAAUCCCCGGGCCCAACCCGGGAACUGCGUCCGAUACUGGCAGGCUUGAAUCCGGGAGAGGGAUGUGGAAUUCCAGGUGUAGCGGUGAAAUGCGUAGAUAUCUGGAGGAACACCGGUGGCGAAGGCGGCAUCCUGGACCGGUAUUGACGCUGAGGCGCGAAAGCCAGGGGAGCAAACGGG
rnacentral:rRNA from 1 species